rnacentral:tRNA from 1 species
UCCCUGGAGGACUAGUGGUUAGGCCACAGUGCUCUCACCGCUGUGGCCCAGGUUCGAUUCACGGCCAGGGAA